GUGAGCCAGCCAGGAGUGAAGACGACAGGUUUGCUGUCUCCUUUGCCUGUGGGUCUGGGGCCCCAGCCUGGGGGAGACCCGUGACUCCAGGCAUGCUAUCAGGACAACUUCAACCCGAGGGGAGAUCAGCUCUCCCGCAACCUGGUGCCGCUCUCUGACAGCACAACAGAACCUAAGGGGCUACAGGAUGAUUCAAGGAACAGUGUGCUACAGGACCUCGCAAGAAGACCCUCACCAGAUGCAGCCCCUCUAUGUUGGACUUCCCAGCCUCCGGAAGUUAGAAAUGUGCUACAACCACUCAAGGUCUGCAAACAGAUUCCUAUUUAGAUGUUGUUGAGAGCUGAAUUUCUGGAACAAGAGAUAUAGAUUAAGACUGUUGUUACAUGUUGCCUACAUGACUUUCAAAAGCUUGAUUCCCAGUGGCGCUCUCAACAGCAGUCAUAAACAAUGAUAGGAGAAAUGGCUACCUUUAUUUUGUUAAACUGGAGAUUGGCAGCUAUGACUGAGGACUUGCAAAAGCGGAAACAGGGACUUCUCAGUGAGGUCAAUAUUUGGAGGAAAUAUGUAUAGAAACUGAAGAUCUGUCUGAGUUUACCCCUGAGGUACAUUAUAGCAUACAUGAGUUUGAAUAUUUAUUCUUUAAUGUACAUAUUUGGUUAUGGAGUUGUUUAAGCAUCAGCUGUUUGGAAAUUCUGCUUUGCCAAGAUAUUUCUAACUUGCUUUUUAGAACAGUUGUAACAUUUUACAUUUCCAUAGCUCCCUUGGCUUCACAUGAUUGAGUAAUACUUUAAAUCAGAUUGUAAAUGUAUUACGCAGUGGUUUUAAUUUCCUGAUUAGUAAUGAGAUUGUAACUGAACUCAGGUUCAGUUGUUUGCCAAUUGAAAGCCAAAACUUGAGAGGCAAGCGUUGGUGGAAGAGAAAAGCAGGUUUAUUCAGGACCUGACAAUCCAAGGAGAUGGUGGACUUGCAUAGCAAAGACCAUCUCAAGUUUCUCAGCCUGGACAUAGGGGUUUUAAAGGGGAAAGGGCUUGGGAAACUAUGUGCAGGAGUUAGCUAUGCAUUUCAGAAUGUCUUUUUCCAACGACUGUCAUGAGGAAUGGGCAUCAAGAGGUGUAGCUGGCAUCAUCCAACCUCUAAUAAGAUUGAAGAUUAACUGCUCAGUAUUUUUUUUCCAUUAAGAACAUUUCACAGCCUUGGUUUUAUCUUGGGGUUAGUUCUUGGAAUUCUUAAGCAAGCACACAAUUAGGUAUCGUAAAAGAAAGAAUAGUUAUUUGUUUCCAAAAUGGAAUGACUGCAUCAGUUACAAGAUGAUCACCUUUAUAUGUUAUUGCUAUUCAGAUUUUCUCUUCCAUAAAAUACUUGUUUGCAUCUUUUGCCUGCAGUUUAAUUGGGUGGUUUGACAUUUUGGUUUAUAUGAAUUUCUUAAUAUGUUAUGGACAUUAAUCCUACACUGGUUUUUUAUGUUGCAAAGAUCUGCUCUCAGCGUGAAAAUUCUUUUUAUGGCGUCUUUUGAUGAUGAAAAG
rnacentral:lncRNA from 1 species